CUACGGGAGGCAGCAGUGGGGAAUAUUGCACAAUGGGCGCAAGCCUGAUGCAGCCAUGCCGCGUGUAUGAAGAAGGCCUUCGGGUUGUAAAGUACUUUCAGCGGGGAGGAAGGGAGUAAAGUUAAUACCUUUGCUCAUUGACGUUACCCGCAGAAGAAGCACCGGCUAACUCCGUGCCAGCAGCCGCGGUAAUACGGAGGGUGCAAGCGUUAAUCGGAAUUACUGGGCGUAAAGCGCACGCAGGCGGUUUGUUAAGUCAGAUGUGAAAUCCCCGGGCUCAACCGGGGAACUGCAUUUGAUACUGGCAAGCUUGAGUCUCGUAGAGGGGGGUAGAAUUCCAGGUGUAGCGGUGAAAUGCGUAGAGAUCUGGAGGAAUACCGGUGGCGAAGGCGGCCCCCUGGACGAAGACUGACGCUCAGGUGCGAAAGCGUGGGGAGCAAACAGGAUUAGAUACCCCAGUAGUC
rnacentral:rRNA from 1 species